rnacentral:rRNA from 1 species
UCGAGAAUCUUCGGCAAUGAGCGCAAGCUUGACCGAGCGACGCCGCGUGAAGGAUGAAGUAUUUCGGUAUGUAAACUUCGUAAGAAUAGGAAGAAUAAAUGACGGUACUAUUUGUAAGGUCCGGCUAACUACGUGCCAGCAGCCGCGGUAAUACGUAGGGACCAAGCGUUGUUCGGAUUUACUGGGCGUAAAGGGCGCGUAGGCGGUGUGUCAAGUCAGUUGUGAAAUCUCCGAGCUUAACUCGGAACGGUCAACUGAUACUGUCACACUAGAGUACAGAAGGGGCAAUCGGAAUUCUUGGUGUAGCGGUGAAAUGCGUAGAUAUCAAGAGGAACACCUGAGGCGAAGGCGGGUUGCUGGGCUGAUACUGACGCUGAGGCGCGAAAGCUAGGGUAGCAAACGGGAUUAGAUACCCCGGUAGUCCCUGAGCGGGCUGGCAAGGCGCAU